rnacentral:lncRNA from 1 species
GUGUUAGGUUGAGGUUGUCUAGGAAAUGAUCCUUAUGGUGUAGCUUGAGCAGCUUGUUGUUGAGCCACUUUAGAGAUCUGGGUCUCAAGCAUCUUAUUGUGGGCUACCACAAAAUCGACCUUGGUGCCUAAUUGUGUAACCAACUCAUUUAUAUGAACGUUUUGGUUCAUGAAUUCUUUAUUUUGUUGAGUUUGAGCUG